rnacentral:rRNA from 1 species
CCUACGGGAGGCAGCAGUGGGGAAUUUUGGACAAUGGGCGAAAGCCUGAUCCAGCCAUUCCGCGUGAGUGAAGAAGGCCUUCGGGUUGUAAAGCUCUUUCGCAAGGGAAGAAAACUUAUAUUCUAAUAAAGUAUGAGGAUGACGGUACCUUGAUAAGAAGCACCGGCUAACUACGUGCCAGCAGCCGCGGUAAUACGUAGGGUGCGAGCGUUAAUCGGAAUUACUGGGCGUAAAGCGUGCGCAGGCGGUUUUGAAAGUCAGAUGUAAAAGCCCCGAGCUCAACUUGGGAACUGCUUUUGAAACUCCAAAGCUAGAGUAUAGGAGAGGGGGGUAAAAUUCCACGUGUAGCAGUGAAAUGCGUAGAGAUGUGGAGGAAUACCAAGGGCGAAGGCGGCCCCCUG